GCUGGGUGUGGUGGCACACGCCUAUAGUCCCAGCUACUCGGGAGGCUGAGGCAGAAGAAUCACUUGAACCCAGGAGGGCAGAGGUUGCAGUGAGCCGAGAUCGUGCCACUGCACUCCAGCCUGGGUGACAGAGUGAGACUCUGUCUCAA
rnacentral:SRP_RNA from 1 species